rnacentral:lncRNA from 1 species
CAAAAAUCUAUGGAAAUUAUUCCUAUGUAAACUGUAAAUACGAAUUGAAUGAUAACUGAAAAUACAGAAAACAGCUUAUAAAAAAUCAGAAGCUCAUGUCUAAAUGAUUUCAUUUCUGCUACAGCCUUGUGAUGAGGAAACAAAAAUAAAUCAAAAACCCAUACUUCAAAACAAUAAGUUGCAGCUGUAAAUACAUGGUCUCUCAGAAAGUAGUAAUGCUUCCUAUUUGUUUCCAUGGAAACUACGACAGAUACAAAGAGCACAAGAACACUAGUUGAUAGUGCAAAUUCUCAGCAACAAAACACUUUUUUUCAACAUAGUCACCAGCACUGACUAUGCAUUUUCACCACCAAUGAACAAGCCUGCAUUGUAAAAAUCUGUGUCAUCAGAAGUGAUCCACUGUUUCACAACUGCUAUGUUUUGCAGCUAGGAAAAUGUUGUCCAUUCAUUCCAUCUUUCAUCAGCCCAAACAGAUGGAAAUCAGAAGGUUUCAAAUCCAGACUAUAUGGUGGGUCUAGUAGAACAAUGUGCUACACAGUAUUCACACUGUUAUGAGGACUGGUAUUAUUGAAAGAAAAACAUUUUCUUCUCUGGCCUGAUUCUGGAUGUUCAAGCCUUCAGCUUAGUCAGCUUUGUAAUGUAGUGGUCGGAGUUGAUUGUCUGAGUUUCAAAAAAACCAAUGGAUCACCCCUUUCUUAUCCCACACAAGAGUGCACAACAAUUUACCCACUAAGGGGUG